AACAGGCUUAGAUACCCUGGUAGUCCACCCCGUAAACGUUGGGAACUAGUUGUGGGGUCCAUUCCACGGAUUCCGUGACGCAGCUAACGCAUUAAGUUCCCCGCCUGGGGAGUACGGCCGCAAGGCUAAAACUCAAAGGAAUUGACGGGGACCCGCACAAGCGGCGGAGCAUGCGGAUUAAUUCGAUGCAACGCGAAGAACCUUACCAAGGCUUGACAUAUACGAGAACGGGCCAGAAAUGGUCAACUCUUUGGACACUCGUAAACAGGUGGUGCAUGGUUGUCGUCAGCUCGUGUCGUGAGAUGUUGGGUUAAGUCCCGCAACGAGCGCAACCCUCGUUCUAUGUUGCCAGCACGUAAUGGUGGGAACUCAUGGGAUACUGCCGGGGUCAACUCGGAGGAAGGUGGGGAUGACGUCAAAUCAUCAUGCCCCUUAUGUCUUGGGCUUCACGCAUGCUACAAUGGCCGGUACAAAGGGCUGCAAUACCGCGAGGUGGAGCGAAUCCCAAAAAGCCGGUCCCAGUUCGGAUUGAGGUCUGCAACUCGACCUCAUGAAGUCGGAGUCGCUAGUAAUCGCAGAUCAGCAACGCUGCGGUGAAUACGUUCCCGGGUCUUGUACACACCGCCCGUCAAGUCAUGAAAGUCGGUAACACCUGAAGCCGGUGGCCUAACCCUUGUGGAGGGAGCCGUCGAAGGUGGGAUCGGUAAUUAGGACUAAGUCGUAACAAGGUAAGCCGU
rnacentral:rRNA from 1 species